rnacentral:sRNA from 1 species
GUCAGGUACAGUGGCACAUGCCUGUAAUCCCAGCGGCUUGGAGGCUGAGGCAGGAGGAUCGCGAGUUUAAAGUGAGCCUCAGCAACAGUGAGGCACUAAGCAACUCAGUGAGACCCUGUCUCUA